CCCGUAGCAGGGAACUAAAUGGCAGCUGUACGGCCGAAUUAGCCCAAUAAAAGUGUAGUAACCCAGAGAACCAGCUACAACAUAGUUUUCAUCCAAACGAGCCGUCUUUAGCGAACGGUGAAUUGCAUUGGCUUCUACGAGCAGUCGGCUUUCAGCCGCGAGCUUAGGGACCGUCUGCAAAGUGCAAAACUGAAAACGACAACAAUAGUAACAUUUCUAUAGCGUCGCCAUUAUUGACUCUAGAGCCCCAAAACUUGUUCCAUAGAGGCAUGGCACAGGAGGUCUACCAUGACUAACGCUACCCUGAACCACCUCCUCAGGAUCAGUGAACAGACGGCUGCUGUUGUGAUUUGUCCUACUUAAUAAAAGUUUAGCCAAUAUUUUUUAAA